AGGGCGGUGGCUCAAUUGGUAGAGCAGCGGUCUCCAAAACCGCAGGUUGCAGGUUCGAGCCCUGUCCGCCCUGCAA
rnacentral:tRNA from 1 species